rnacentral:rRNA from 1 species
AACGAACGCUGGCGGCGUGGAUUAGGCAUGCAAGUCGAACGCACGAAGCCCUUCGGGGUCUAGUGAGUGGCGAACGGGUGAGUAAGGCAUGAAUACCUACCCCGAUGACUGGGAUAACUACUCGAAAGGGUAGCUAAUACUAGAUGUGAUCUUCGGAUUAAAGCUGGCCUCUGUAUAUGCUGGCGCAUCGGGAGGGGUUCAUGUGCUAUUAGCUUGUUGGUGAGGUAACGGCUCACCAAGGCGAUGAUGGCUAGCCGGCCUGAGAGGGUGUCCGGCCACACUGGGACUGAGACACUGCCCAG